GAGCUUUUGAUUUUGUCAUGUGAUCACGGACUUUCCUACUUGAAUGUUCCUUGGAGUUCGGUAAUUUUAUUAUUUUACUUUUCAAUGAUAGAGUUUGAAUUCAAAUGGCGGAUGCUGCAUGCAGAGCAACGAUGUUUACCAAAAGAGGGACGAAAGAUACCAAAGGGACAGUCAAACUCAUAAAUCUAAAACAAACUGACAACGCCAUGGCUAAAAAUGAAAAAGACAAACAGAAAAACAAUAGUACACAUGACACAUCAUAGAAAACUAAAGAAUAAACAACACGAACCCCACCAA
rnacentral:lncRNA from 1 species